AUCCGGCAACAAGCUGAGCAGAUCCAAGUGUACAGGCGCAUCUCCAUCUGGCCAAGUGUCUUCUGUCUGGGACAUGACCACCCACACCAUUCUUUCUGAUCAAACAGUUGAGCUUGCAGUGAUUCAGCUCCCGUUGUAACUCUGCAGGGCCCACACUCCUGAGGAUGGAAGGAAGAAUACUACUACCUGUCCACCCUACCAUGGAGACAUUGCUCCUCCACUCAAGAGAUAAGAAACGAAACCAAAGAGUUUCCUUAAGAUGCCACCAGUUAAAAACUGUGUCUUACCAAAGCUCUGUGAAGAUAGUCUGCUUUUGAUCCAGAAGCUGCUCCAUUUCCUCAUCACCUGAAGAAGGAGAGCAUCCACAUUAGUGGGGCAGGCCUGGCACUGAGUGCAGGAAGCCGCUGUUCUCAUCCACACAUAGGAAACAGAGAGAGGGAACAGGAAAUGAGGUCUCCUGGAAGACAGAAGCAAAGAGAAGCAAGCCGCCCCUUGCCAGAUCCUUCACGCCACCUGCUUGAGUUGUCUAUGAAAUCCCAUAGACAUUGGAAAAUGGAAACGUACUAUCCUACCCCCUGCCUGGAGCAGAGGCAGAUCUCUAAUACAGUUCACUGAACUACUAGCUUCACUGUGUGUCAUGGAGGGAAAAAUCCGUAAUUUCCUUUCAGCAUGCAAAGAACCAGAGUUCAGAACAACAUCAGUUUAAUUUCAUGUCUACCACCUUACUGGAGACCAGCCUUUCCCAAGCUCGCUCCUCAACUCUAGAGAAUACAUGCAUUGCUGCAUAUAAGUGAUUCCAAGAUGACAUUAUUUUAUGCAGGAGUAGAAAAGAAAAAAAAACAAUGCUGUCUAUUAGGCUGACACACAACGGACAAUAAAACACAUCUUUAAAUCAGAGAUGUUAAAGUGUUAAAAGAAAAGGGAAAAUAAAACAAGUGAAACACAGCACCUGCCUCAGAGGGCUGCUGGGAAGAUUAAUUAAGAUUGUGCAUCUGAAAGUGUUUUGAAAACUGUCAAGCACAGUAGCUACGCUGCCACAUUUAACAGAGGCAGCACGCUGCCAGGGAAAACACAGCCUCCUAGGUCAGCCAGGCUGGGCUCCCUUGCCAGUGCCAUCAAGUCCUUGCUGGGCAAUCAUUGACCAUUUUGUUAACCCUCAUGGAUCUUGAUCUUUUAUUCAGUUAACUAAUUCCUAAUUUACCCAAUUAACUAAUUUCUGCUUUCCUCACAAGUGCAGGAGCCCAAGGA